rnacentral:rRNA from 1 species
UACGUAGGGGGCUAGCGUUGUCCGGAUUUAUUGGGCGUAAAGCGCGUGUAGGCGGCCAGAUAGGUCUGCUGUGAAAACUCGAGGCUCAACCUCGAGCUGUCGGCGGAAACCAUCCGGCUAGAGUCCGGAAGAGGAGAGUGGAAUUCCUGGUGUAGCGGUGAAAUGCGCAGAUAUCAGGAAGAACACCUAUGGCGAAGGCAGCUCUCUGGGACGGUACUGACGCUGAGACGCGAAAGCCAGGGGAGCAAACGGG